UACGAAGGGUGCAAGCGUUACUCGGAAUUACUGGGCGUAAAGCGUGCGUAGGUGGUUCGUUAAGUCUGUCGUGAAAGCCCCGGGCUCAACCUGGGAAUGGCGAGGAUACUGGCGAGCUAGAGUGCGGUAGAGGAGAGUGGAAUUCCCGGUGUAGCAGUGAAAUGCGUAGAGAUCGGGAGGAACAUCAGUUGCGAAGGCGGCUCUCUGGACCAGCACUGACACUGAGGCACGAAAGCGUGGGGAGCAAACAGG
rnacentral:rRNA from 1 species